rnacentral:snoRNA from 1 species
CCUGCCCCUAGAGGUGUUGCAGGUGAGGCUGCUGUGUCUCAUGGGCAUCAGUAGGUGACAGAGAGGAGAGAAGCUACGUCUACACUCAGUGUUCGGACCUGCGAAUAUCUGAAUGAGUAGUCACCUAAGAUA